AAAGGCGCUUUCGGGUGUCGCUGAUGGAUGGACCCGCGGUGCAUUAGCUAGUUGGUGAGGUAACGGCUCACCAAGGCCACGAUGCAUAGCCGACCUGAGAGGGUGAUCGGCCACAUUGGGACUGAGACACGGCCCAAACUCCUACGGGAGGCAGCAGUAGGGAAUCUUCGGCAAUGGACGAAAGUCUGACCGAGCAACGCCGCGUGAGUGAAGAAGGUUUUCGGAUCGUAAAACUCUGUUGUUAGAGAAGAACAAGGAUGAGAGUAACUGUUCAUCCCUUGACGGUAUCUAACCAGAAAGCCACGGCUAACUACGUGCCAGCAGCCGCGGUAAUACGUAGGUGGCAAGCGUUGUCCGGAUUUAUUGGGCGUAAAGCGAGCGCAGGCGGUUUCUUAAGUCUGAUGUGAAAGCCCCCGGCUCAACCGGGGAGGGUCAUUGGAAACUGGGAGACUUGAGUGCAGAAGAGGAGAGUGGAAUUCCAUGUGUAGCGGUGAAAUGCGUAGAUAUAUGGAGGAACACCAGUGGCGAAGGCGGCUCUCUGGUCUGUAACUGACGCUGAGGCUCGAAAGCGUGGGGAGCAAACAGGAUUAGAUACCCUGGUAGUCCACGCCGUAAACGAUGAGUGCUAAGUGUUGGAGGGUUUCCGCCCUUCAGUGCUGCAGCUAACGCAUUAAGCACUCCGCCUGGGGAGUACGACCGCAAGGUUGAAACUCAAAGGAAUUGACGGGGGCCCGCACAAGCGGUGGAGCAUGUGGUUUAAUUCGAAGCAACGCGAAGAACCUUACCAGGUCUUGACAUCCUUUGACCACUCUAGAGAUAGAGCUUCCCCUUCGGGGGCAAAGUGACAGGUGGUGCAUGGUUGUCGUCAGCUCGUGUCGUGAGAUGUUGGGUUAAGUCCCGCAACGAGCGCAACCCUUAUUGUUAGUUGCCAUCAUUCAGUUGGGCACUCUAGCAAGACUGCCGGUGACAAACCGGAGGAAGGUGGGGAUGACGUCAAAUCAUCAUGCCCCUUAUGACCUGGGCUACACACGUGCUACAAUGGGAAGUACAACGAGUCGCGAAGUCGCGAGGCUAAGCUAAUCUCUUAAAGCUUCUCUCAGUUCGGAUUGCAGGCUGCAACUCGCCUG
rnacentral:rRNA from 1 species